ACACACAACUGGCAGAGAGGAGAAGGGAAAUGUGUGCGAGAAAGCCCUGCAGUGGGACUGAGCAAAGUGCUCAUUCGAAAACAGCCUGCCUUGGAGAAGAAACCAGAGAGAAGGUUUGAGAAGGUUUCAAAGGUGGGAAGCAGGUGUUUGAGGGUGGUGGGAAUGUUAGGCUAAGGGCUACAUUUGUUUUUUCAGACAGGGUCUCACUCUGUUCAUCCAGGCUGGAGUGCCAUAGUGCAAACAUAGCUCACUGUAACUGUGAGCUCCUAGGCUCAAGCGAUCCUCCUGCCUCAGCCUCCCAGCUAGGACUACAGGUGCACACCACCAUGCCUGGCUAAUUUUUGAAAAUUUUUUGUAGAGACAGGAUCUUGCUAUGUUGACUAGGCUGGUGUCAAACUCCUGGCCUCAAGCAAUCCUCCCGCCUCCGCUUCCCAAAGUGCUGUGAUUGAUUACACACGCUGCACCUGGCCAAGGCUACCUUUUUAACGCAGAAAACUAAGAAGCCUCUUCAGGUUUCUGAAUAAAGAACGAGAAGGCAAUGAUGAUGAAAACUGGAAACAAGCAGGUGGCCAUUACCGCAAUUAAGGCUAAAAUCUAGGUUAAGAAAGGGGAGAGAGAACUGCAAAUGAAAAGGGCAAAGAUGCAGUGAGGAUGAGAAGUUACAAAAGCUAAAAAGAAGGAAGUAAUACUAAGAGGUGUUACAGAGUCCAGCUCAAAGGACAGAAAAAAGGAGGAACUUCAGAUAACAAUUUUUAAAAUACUUAUUAACAGCCAAUUAUGAGUCAGGUACUUUACAAGGUGUUCAAUGGACAUUAUCUAUUUUACUUAUUUUUAUUUUAUCUUUUUGGUUUACUUUUUUUCUUUUUUUUUCAUUUUACAUUAUCUAUUUUAAUCCUCACAAUAUCCCUGUAAGGUAGGUAUAUUACCUUCAGUUUCCAGAUCAAGAAACUGAAGUGCACAGAAGUUUGAAGUAACUUACUCAAACCACUUCACUAAUAACCAGGGUAGGCAGGACUCAAAUACAGACAGUUUGCCUCCAAAAUACAUGGUCCUAAUCACCUCCCUAUGUUGUGUCCAUGCAGUCACGAGUUUGGCAUGAGGAGAGCUGGAGGAAGAGCCCAGGAGACAGUGAAGAGGAAGCAAGAGGCUGUAUAUGUAGCCAGCUGGGUUUGGGGGCACCUCAUGAGUAUCCCAUAGCACAAACGGGCAAACUCUGUUACUGGCACAUUAACUAAAAGACAAAACUCCACAUAAACCUGAGUCCUUCCAACCAACCCGGAGACUUACCCAAAUCUAAUCUAAAUAACAACAACAAAAAAGAAAAAAUCACUAUGAGCCUGUAAGUCAUUAAGGGGGUACAUCUUCAAAUGACAUGCUAUCACUAACCAUGGCUUAAAACCCCACAGAUCCCUAAAACUUAAAGUAUAAUAAUAAAUAAAAAUAAAAAAAUUUAAAAAUUAAAAAAAAAUUUUACAUUUAUCUUUAAGAAUUUGUGUUUGAGAAUAAUUAGCUCUUGCCAUUCUACUACUCUGUAUGUAUGUGGGUUAUCAUUCUUGUGUCUUUCUUCUGCUUGAGUAAAUAAAAAGCAAGAACAACAACAAAAAACCCCACAGAGGAGAAGACUUAGCAAUUGUAGUGAAUAUGGGCUGAAUUCAAAAAGUGGCCUGGAGAUUUUGCCUUGAAUUACUUGGGUGGGAUAAGGAUGAUGGCUCUAAUAGAACCAAGCAAAUGAAAUACUGAUAAGUAUUUGCAGAUAUUACAAAUAAAUUAUAAUAUGUAUUUUGUGUGUAUGUGUUUAACCAAGUUGCAAAGUAGUUAAAGUUCUUUUGUAUGAAUGAAAGUGGCAGGAUGACCCCAAUAUCUUCCAUGAAAGGAAAAAAUAAGUUGGGAGCAAAGUUAUUCAUAUUCUCUAUUCUCUUCUCUUUUCUACUAAACUUUGUCUCCUAAAGCCCACACAUUGUCAUGACUUAAGAAAAUCAUGUUCUCUUCUAGGUAGAUUUUGAUAUCUGAUUUUUAGCUGAAAUUAGAGCCAAUGUCUCUGGAAGUGACGUGCAAUGGGAACAUUAACCGUAAUUUAUUUUUUUUAUUUUUAUUUUUUUUGAGACAAAGUCUCACUCUGUUGCCAAGGCUGGAGUGCAAUGGCGUGGUCUCGGCUCACUGCAACCUCCACAUCCCAGGUUCAAGAGAUUCUCCUGCCUCAGCCUCCCAAGUAGCUGGGAUUACAGGUGCCCGCCACCAUGCCCGACUAAUUUUUAUAUUUUUAGUAGAGACGUGUUGGCCAGGCUAUCGCAAACUCCAGCAACCUCAGGUGAUCCCCCCAUCUCGGCCUCCCAAAGUGCUGGGAUUACAGGCGUAAGCCACCAUGCCCAGCCAAUUGUUAUUUUUUAAAGAGACAAAAACAAUGAUUUGCUGAAUGUUUUUUAGAAGUACAAUGGGAGGGUGUGUGUUAACUUGUGGGGGUUUGUUUGUGAUUUUUUUUUUUUUUUUUGAGAUAGAGUUUCACUCUGUUACCCAGGCUGGAGUGCAGUGGCGCGAUCUUGGCUCACUGCAACCUCCGCCUCCUGGAUUCAAGCAAUUCUCCUGCCUCAGCUUCCCAAGUAGCUGGGACUACAGGCAUGUGCCACUACGCCCAGCUAAUUUUUGUAUUUUUAGUAGAGGUGGGGUUUCACUAUAUGUUGGCCAGGCUGGUCUCGAACUCCUGACCUCAGGUGAUCUGCCAGCCUCGGCCUCCCAAAGUGCUGGGAUUACAGGCGUGAGCUACCUGGCCAUUUGUUUGUGAUUACUUUAAUAUGAACUAAGUCAUUUAUCUUCAGAUGUUUCACAGAAUGAAUCCUAAUUGAAGAUGAAACCCUCAGCAACCUGGAAAUCUUGAAAAAAAGACACAGGGUCCCACCAUGUUGUCCAGGCUAACCUCAAACUCCUGGAUUCGAGUGAUCCUCCCGUCUCAGCCUCCCGAGUAGCUGGGAUUACAGGCGUGUGCCACCAUACCUGACUCAUCUUAUUGUUUGUAAUGGUGAAACUGAGAUGGAACUAUAAUUAUGAAGAAUGAGUCUGAUUCUUUUGUGGAAUAAGGAUUGCUUUUAUUUAUAGAUACGUAUCAAUGACUUCUUACUAAAUUAUAAAAAGAUAUUUAUAUAAUUCAUUCAGUUUAGUUUCAGCAUGCUGUAUAAAACAUACACAACUGAAUAUUUACUCUGCCCUAUAAUUAAACAUCAUAAUCUUUAA
rnacentral:lncRNA from 1 species